rnacentral:rRNA from 1 species
UACGUAGGGUGCGAGCGUUAAUCGGAAUUACUGGGCGUAAAGCGUACGCAGGCGGCUGCGCAAGACAGAUGUGAAAUCCCCGGGCCUAACCUGGGAACUGCAUUUGUGACUGCGCAGCUCGAGUCCGUCAGAGGGGGGUGGAAUUCCACGUGUAGCAGUGAAAUGCGUAGAGAUGUGGAGGAACACCGAUGGCGAAGGCAGCCCCCUGGGAUGAGACUGCCGCUCAGGUACGAAAGCGUGGGGAGCAAGCAGU